GCUUCACUGAAAAUGGUUUCUCCAUGUGAAUCAGGAAGUGGCCUCUCCAGAGAAUGGAACUACUCUUCUUUUCUUACCUCUGUGGCUGCGAUCUCCUGGGUGAUGUAGACGCUGUUAGGUAGUAGAAUGCACAUGAGUAUUCCAUCCAUUUCCCACCCACCUCCUCUGUGUGGCCCUGGGCACUGGCAAACCAUGCUAUGCCACUGGGUGGUGGUGUUAUUGGCCUGUGGGGAGAGCAGGUUUAAACCUCCCCUUCUCAUUGGUAAUUCUGGUAAAAAUCAGCCCCAUAUGAUGAUUGGCAUUAAGGAAAAAACUCCCAUUAGUAGCCUAAUUAUGGUGCAAGAGGACUUUUGACCCGCCUUCCCUGCAUGGUGGCAAUACUGGCCCCUGUCGAAGUCUCCAAUUUAAGUUUUAAAAACCUCCCACGCGACUGCUAAUCACAUCAUUGACUUGACUUCUAGCUAUGCCUUGACUUUCCAGGUGUCUGGAAAGCUUCGGAACAUCUGAAAGAAUGAAAAAGAAAGACAAAAAGAAGAGAAGGUGCUUGAAUUAAAGCUGCCUUCGGGCACUCGCAAGUUCUGGGUUGGUGGGUUUUACAAGACUACUUACUAUGCUAUUCAAUUAAAAAAAAGAGCAGUUACCAUAGCAACACCCACAUCUAAUGGCUCUUAUGCUACCUCCGAGAUACAAAGCACCUUCUUACAGCGAUGCAUUGACCAAUACAACACCGUUGUGAAAAGUU